rnacentral:lncRNA from 1 species
CCGUACCCCCCCCAACCCCAAAUAAAAUAUUGCCGGCUCGUUUAUUUACCUUUAAAUUUUUUUUUUUUUUUUAAAUUACGCGGCGCUUCCGUCGUCUGCAAAGUAAUAGAUACGUCGAUAACGAUAUUUGUUUCUGAUCUCCUGCUCCGGACAGUCGGUCGACCUAGGUUGUUGACCCGACUCUUCAAUGUGUAUGUGUGCACCGGCAUCGAGUUAAUACUUGUGUGACGGUAUGUUGACUUUGUUUGGAGGCGUCGACGCCGUCUUCCACAAUCUGCUGCUCUAUCCAACGCUUGAUAUAACAUUCUUGCAGCCCAAUAUAACGGCCUCUAAGGCCAAGUGUCGGCAGAGGGGGCACGACUAUCCCCUGAAGCCUAGGAUAGUUGAGAUGAAUAGUUCGUCAAUCGCCGACUAUCAUCGAAUUCAGAAGACUCUACAG